UUUUUUUUUUUUUUUUUUUCAAAACCCAAAAUAAACAUAACGAAAAAACCGCAAAGUGGUCGAGAAAAAAACCCGCAACGAGCGUCACCUCUCCAAAUGGCAAGCUAUGAGGAACAUAAAUUUGAAUUUAUGAAGCUCGCUUUAGAACAGGCAAAGGAUGCAUUGGCCAAUCUUGAAGUUCCGGUGGGGUGAGAUUCUUGUUGAAGUUAUUUGUGUACUUCGGAAAUAAG